rnacentral:rRNA from 1 species
CCCUUAGAUGUUCCGGGCCGCACGCGUGCUACACUGAGUAAAUCAAUGGGUAAGGGAACACGAAAGUGCAACCUAAUCUUGAAAUUUGCUCGUGAUGGGGAUCGACGGUUGCAAUUUUCCGUCGUGAACGAGGAAUACCUUGUAGGCGCGUGUCAUCAUCACGCGCCGAAUACGUCCCUGCCCUUUGUACACACCGCCCGUCGCUCCUACCGAUUGAGUGAUCCGGUGAGGCUCUGGGACCUGGACGGAAAGAGCGUUUCGCUUGUUCUGUUUGGGAAACUUGGUCGAACCUUAUCAUUUAGAGGAAGGAGAAGUCGUAACA